AUCAGUGAUUUAUGGACUGAGGAGUGAUGUUAUCUUUGGAAGAAGGUUAACCGUGUUCUUCGCAUGUUUAAAUGAAGGGUGAAGGUGUUGCAUACCAUUACUUGUGUCAAUUCCAUUAAUGAAAAGCACUCAUGAUUCCUCAUUUAAAACCACAAUCCCACACAGUUCAGUAAAUUCAUAUUAAGUGAAGACUUUUAAUGUAUAAUCUUAUCCAGCUAACUAAAAGGAGGGUUUACGACUUCAUGACCCUUGAGGGCGAUAGAGGUAAACAGGUUUAGCUUGGUGCCUUGACUUCUCAAUGGUAGUUUGUUAUUAUAAUGACAGAGAGACGCAAUGACCUUAACUGAGAAAAAAAACUCUAACAAUUAGGUUUAUUUGCAGAUAUUGCAGGAACACAAUGCAUAAACAGGUAAGUGAUGAUACUUGAGAUUGAAUGCUGAUGAGAUAGACUUGUAAUGUUAACUUUGAGUCUUUGUCUUACAGUAGUGGUCUCAAACUCAAAUCAUGGAGGGCCACAGCUCUGCACGAUUUUGCUCCAACCCUAAUCAAACACAACUGAUCCAGCUAAUCAAGGUCUUCAGGAUUACUAGAAACUUCCAAACAGGUGUGAGUUGGAGCUGGUUGGAGCUAAACUCUGCAGAGUCUGAGUUUGAGACCACUGUCUUACAAAAUCGUUGGAGCACAAACACACAUGGGGGAACGACCUUGAGACGAGGGAUGACUGAAAGAUGACUUGGAUGAGAUAACAGCAGUAGCUAGCAAUAAUCAGGCAGAAAAAGCAGAUGAAUUCCAGGUGCAUGUGGUUAGGUGCCAGGGAGGAUGAUGGGAAAUGCAGUCCAGGAGUGGAGUCCAAAGGUCCACCACCACACUGAUCGACCAUUUGUGCAGUUGUACAAGAUUUUCAUUUGACCUCCAUUGAAGAUGCUCUGUGGAUCAUUUCAAAUCAUGCUGGAGAACAUGAUCAUCAUCGUUUUAUGUUCAUCAGUUCAUGAAGACGCAUGCCCUGAUGAAAAAUCCAGCAUUGCUGGUCACCAGCAUAAGGUCUGGCUUGUUGAAUAACUUUCAAGUUCCUGUGGAGAAAAUGAAUGGGAAAACACUUCUGCAAGCAACCCAGGUCAUCGAGAAAGUGGCCGCCCACCGUUGCGCUCUGUUCCAGGAGCUGAAAACCUUGAUUCCUUGACAAAAAGCUCUACAGGAGGUUCAUCUGCUCAUUGUUCUGCUCAGGUGUGUGUGUGUGUGUGUGUGUGUGUGUGGUGUCCAGGUGUGCAUUUCUUUCUGUCCAAGUGUCUGAUCUCACUGUAACGAAGGAUGCUCUCAUUAAUAUUCAGCGGGAGGCACAACAAGCCAUCAGGUACGAUUCACUAUUUGUUUCAGCACAUCUGAGACACAGCCACAUCAAUACAGUACAUUUAUACCCUAACAAGAACAACUGUACUCCUUUCAUCCCUCUCCUCAGGUUCCCAUUGUCUACUUAAUAAUGAAAACCAAUUAGGUAGGUAUACAAAGCCCCUUGGCGUAUGCUGCUUUUUGUCUCUUUUCCAUCCACAGGCAAAUUUUUCUGUGUUUAUGGAACACUACGAGAUUCUUACAGAUCCUCUGGGUCGCAAUCAGGACAAAGUCCGCCAGCCCUGUAUUUCCCAUUUUGUCGGUGCUUAUUUCCAUCUAAAUGAACGUGUUAGCGGUAACAGGUUUGUGUGCGAGUGUGCACGCAGCCGGCCGUCUGAAAGCUGAAGGAUAUGAGAGAGGGCAGCUCAGAUUGUAUCUGUGGAUAAAUUAUUCAGAGUUCAGCUUCUCUAUCCAAUGACCCCACUAACAGAGCACAAAUUAUUUAGCAAGCUGCCAGAGCGAUAGUGAUGCUACACGCGCGAAACGCGGCCUCCCUGAGCAGAACCACGGGUGUACGAGGCCACCGGGGGGAGGGAGGGAGACGAAGAGAGAGAGAGAGAGAGAGAGAGAGAGAACCUUAUACAUAUUCAUCCAUUGCAUCAGCUCACAGAUGUUCUGAUUUCCCAUUGUCACUAAUGUCCUAGUCUCCCCAAACAGCAGGUGAGAUUAAGGCCUUCAUUAACACGCUGAUCUAAGAAUACUUUCUUUGUUUUUCUUUCAUCGACUGUCUCUCUGUCUUUUGUAAGAAGAGAAUGUACGGAGAGACUCCUGUAGCAGGUGAUGAGAUGAUAGCGGCAGGACCCGAACUUGUUCAGGGUUGUUUGGGGACACUAGCACACCGCUGAUGUCUCAGGUGUCCGUUCUGUACCCAGCAUUCAACACCAGCACCUGAAAGCUGACACAUGCUGGGUUUGGUGGCAGACUGCCUUAUAGUUGACGCCGUAGUCUAAUUAUGUCCUUGAAUGUAAUAAAGCCUGAAUUCAAUGGACACAAUAUUGAUAUUUCUCUGAGAUGCAAACAUAUUUUAUACUGGGAUAAUUUUCAUAUUGAAAGCAAAUCAACGAAGAAUAAAAUAUGUGGGAUUUAAUUCAUUGCUUCAUUUUUCUAAAUGCCACUGAUGAAACUCAUGUACAUCUUUAUAUAAUACAAUAUCAGAUCUUUGUUCAUGGAGUAGGACAUGACAAAAUUAUUGACUUGUGUUUCAGUAAGUGAGUCUGCUAAAAAGAAUCGAGAAUGCAGCUUCACUAGUUGUACUGUUUGAUGUUCUCUAAAAAGGACCGGCUUGUAAAAGUCAUCUGCUUCAAAAUGAGACUUUACAUGUCAUGCCGUUUUCAAUUCACUA